rnacentral:rRNA from 2 species
UUUUAGUGUACUGCGGAGGUCAUUACCUAGAGUUUGUAGACUUCGGUCUGCUACCUCUUACCCAUGUCUUUUGAGUACCUUCGUUUCCUCGGCGGGUCCGCCCGCCGAUUGGACAACAUUCAAACCCUUUGCAGUUGCAAUCAGCGUCUGAAAAAACAUAAUAGUUACAACUUUCAACAACGGAUCUCUUGGUUCUGGCAUCGAUGAAGAACGCAGCGAAAUGCGAUAAGUAGUGUGAAUUGCAGAAUUCAGUGAAUCAUCGAAUCUUUGAACGCACAUUGCGCCCCUUGGUAUUCCAUGGGGCAUGCCUGUUCGAGCGUCAUUUGUACCUUCAAGCUCUGCUUGGUGUUGGGUGUUUGUCUCGCCUCUGCGUGUAGACUCGCCUUAAAACAAUUGGCAGCCGGCGUAUUGAUUUCGGAGCGCAGUACAUCUCGCGCUUUGCACUCACAACGACGACGUCCAAAAGUACAUUUUUACACUCUUGACCUCGGAUCAGUAGGGAUACCCGCUGAACUUAAGCAUAUCAACCCGGGAAAGAAACGUGAAUUAAGCAUUUUAAUAAGCGGGAGGCCCCAUCAGACCAACCAAAGAACAAACACCUCCCAACCCAAAA